AGACCAAUCUUUGGUCUAACUUUUAAUUUCUGACAUUAAACGUUUCGUAAAUUAAUUAAUACUUGACCAUCUGUAAUUCAUUGUUCAAUCUUAUUUGGUAACAAAGGAUACAAAGAGUGGCGUGUUCUAUUGUUCUAAUAAUUCCACCACUUUUUUCAUGUCAUUACAUCCAUAAUUAUAUUGGCGGCCGUAGAAGAUUUGCUUUAUUUUUUUCUUAGUAGAUAGUCGACAUUGUUUAUUUCCAGGAACCAAUUCUAAUUGCUCAAAGUUAUUAUUUGUUUUAAUUUCUUUUUUUUUUGGUGUUAAUUGUCUGUUGUGUGAUUGUAAGAGAUGUGAUUUAGUGUUUCAGUGUUACCAUUUUUGUGUAUAUGCAAAAUGGCAUGAAAAUCUAUGUUCAUUAGUGAUGUUUUAACUGGACUGAGUGAGAAAAAAAAAAAGGAAAAGAAAAAUAAUUAAGCUCUUUCAUUUUCUUUUUUGCAGCUUCGAUGCUUCUAUAGGCAGCCAUCACUAUGUGGAAACUUAGUGUAUAGUGUGCAUAAUUUAAUUAUAAGAUUUUCUUCCUAAAAUUUAUGCAGCUGCAGUUACAUUUGGUUUAGACAAUUCUUAGGCCUGUUAUAGAACUUCAACGAAACUACUUGGAUUAUUAUGCUGAAAAUAGAGAAGAGAAAAUGCUUAUUCCACAGGCUGUUAUUUCUUUCCUCAGGAAUAUCCGCAGGAUCAUGUGUUCUCUCUAUAGGGAAUGGAGUAUGUGCUGCAUGGAGUCAUUGCUUUGGGGAUAAUGGCUGCUGGUGGUGUGCUCUCCGGAGGGAAUCCAGCAUCACAUGUUUUACAGAUUAAGAAGCAAGGUGAUUCUGCUGAUGCCAAAUUAGUUGUCACACUUUAAAUUAUGACAAGAUGAUUGUUUUAAGUAUAAUUAUGUAAUUCCUUUUUUUGUUAAACAAAAUUUUGGCAAUUGUCUAAAGCAUGAUUUUUUUUUUUAA